GGUUUAUACAUUCUUGUGAGACUGGAACCUGCCUUUGGCUGCUGGUGAUCUUAAUGUGCCUAGAAAAUGCAGACUGAAGGUUUAUGCAUUCUUGUGAGCUUGGAACCCCCCUUGACUGCUAGAGAUCUUCAUGUGCCUAGAAAUGCAGUCUGAAGAUUUUGGAUAAGUUUUUCCUUGAAGAUUGACCUGUGAGGUGGUUUAAGAUGACAAAAGGACAAUACGGACAAACUUCAUGUUCUCUAUUUGCCUCAAACUUUCCUGGGGUCAUACCCAAUUUCAUGAAAUGAGACAUAUUUACUCUGAGUUUCCUGCCUGGCAUCUUACCUAGCUAUUUUCACUAACAGAUCAAUCACAUAAUUGGUAACCUUCUACAACAAUGAAAGAGCCAAUAUUUUUGACAAAUAAAUGGACACUUGACCAGCAUGAACUGAAUAAUUCUUUGAGAGAACUACACAAGUAUGUUUCUAAAUUAAAUAAUCACAUAUACUAUUUGGAGAACUGCUGUACAGGAAAACUCAAUCCUCCUCUACCAUUAGACUUUUCAUAAAAGGCUCAUCAAGCGAUAUUAAAAUUAAAAUACUUGCUAUUGUGCUGAACGACAGUAAUUAUGCUUAAAUAUUUAAUCAUUCAUAAAGGUAACAAGUUGUAUGAAUUUUUAUUGAACAUAACAGGAAAGGUUUGACAAUACAGAACACCUCACUUGGAAUAGAUUGCUUAUUGGCAAAUAUGGACAACUCCAACAGCUCUUUUGGUGAUCAAGGACAACCAUCCUACAGCAUAAACAAAAGACAAACAACCAUUUUAAAAAGAAUGUAAAGCAUUUUAACAUACAGAUAAUACUAAUUAUAGGCUCUAACCCUCUGCUCUAAUGAUGUCUAAAAAUUAUGUCCCAAACUUCAUGUAAUGAUGCCUUUAAAAAGCAGAUAUGUUAUAUUCAGAAAUCUCACUGGUUACACAAUAAAGCUCUUUUAAUUGCACAAA